rnacentral:lncRNA from 1 species
CAUAAUAUCUCUAUCUUUCUCUUUUUUCAUUUGACUUUCCAGUAUAGCUAUUAUAUCUAUAUUGUAUCUAUUUAGACACGAAACUAUAAAACUAUGCUUCUUAGGAGAAUUAAACCACCGCAGAUUCCACGUGGGCCAAGGACCUGAGCUAAACAACCAGUCGCAUGUAUCCGUGUAGGUGAACUAAAACAAGAAGAGUUCGUUA